rnacentral:misc_RNA from 1 species
GAAAUGCGAUAAGUAAUGUGAAUUGCUGAAUUCAGUGAAUCAUCGAAUCUUUGAACGCACAUUGCGCCCGUCAGCAUUCUGGCGGGCAUGCCUGUUCGAGCGUCAUUUCAACCCUCAGGACCCCCCUUUCGCGGGGAGGGACCUGGCGUUGGGGAUCGGCCCGCCCCCGCGGCGGCGCCGUCCCCGAAAUCUAGUGGCGGUCUCGCUGCAGCCUCCCCUGCGUAGUAGUUACAACCUCGCAUCGGAGCGCGGCGCGGCCACGCCGUAAAACCCCCGACUUUCUGAACGUUGACCUCGGAUCAGGUAGGAAUACCCGCUGAACUUAAGC